rnacentral:rRNA from 1 species
UACAGAGGUCUCAAGCGUUGUUCGGAUUCAUUGGGCGUAAAGCGUGCGCAGGCGGUUCGUUGUGUCCGUCGUGAAAGCCCCGGGCUUAACCUGGGAACUGCGAUGGAAACUAGCGAGCUGGAGUGUGGCAGAGGGGGGUGGAAUUCCGCGUGUAGCAGUGAAAUGCGUAGAGAUGCGGAGGAACACCGAUGGCGAAGGCAGCCCCCUGGGCUAACACUGACGCUCAGGCACGAAAGCGUGGGGAGCAAACAGG